UACAGAGACUGCAAGCGUUAUUCGGAUUCACUGGGCGUAAAGGGUGCGCAGGCGGCCAAGUGUGUUAGGCGUGAAAGCCCGGGGCUUAACCCCGGAAUUGCACCUAAAACUACAUGGCUAGAGCAUUGGAGAGGGUAGCGGAAUUCACGGUGUAGCAGUGAAAUGCGUAGAUAUCGUGAGGAACACCAGAGGCGAAGGCGGCUACCUGGACAAUUGCUGACACUCAGGCACGAAAGCGUGGGGAGCAAACAGG
rnacentral:rRNA from 1 species